CCUACGGGAGGCAGCAGUGGGGAAUUUUGGACAAUGGGCGCAAGCCUGAUCCAGCCAUGCCGCGUGCGGGAAGAAGGCCUUCGGGUUGUAAACCGCUUUUGUCAGGGAAGAAACGCUCUGGGCUAAUACCCUGGGGUAAUGACGGUACCUGAAGAAUAAGCACCGGCUAACUACGUGCCAGCAGCCGCGGUAAUACGUAGGGUGCAAGCGUUAAUCGGAAUUACUGGGCGUAAAGCGUGCGCAGGCGGUCUUGCAAGACAGAUGUGAAAUCCCCGGGCUCAACCUGGGAACUGCAUUUGUGACUGCAAGGCUAGAGUACGGUAGAGGGGGAUGGAAUUCCGCGUGUAGCAGUGAAAUGCGUAGAUAUGCGGAGGAACACCGAUGGCGAAGGCAAUCCCCUGGACCUGUACUGACGCUCAUGCACGAAAGCGUGGGGAGCAAACAGGAUUAGAUACCCUGGUAGUCCACGCCCUAAACGAUGUCAACUGGUUGUUGGGAAGGUUCCUUCUCAGUAACGUAGCUAACGCGUGAAGUUGACCGCCUGGGGAGGUACGGCCGCGAGUAGAACGUACGAAGAAGUAGUAGACGNGAGAGAGCGACGACGACGACGACGGAGGAGGAGG
rnacentral:rRNA from 1 species